rnacentral:rRNA from 1 species
UACGAAGGGUGCAAGCGUUACUCGGAAUUACUGGGCGUAAAGCGUGCGUAGGUGGUUUGUUAAGUCUGAUGUGAAAGCCCUGGGCUCAACCUGGGAACGGCAUUGGAAACUGGCUUACUAGAGUGCGGUAGAGGGGUGUGGAAUUCCCGGUGUAGCAGUGAAAUGCGUAGAUAUCGGGAGGAACAUCUGUGGCGAAGGCGACUCCCUGGACCAGCACUGACACUGAGGCACGAAAGCGUGGGGAGCAAACAGG